rnacentral:rRNA from 1 species
ACGAACGCUGGCGGCGUGCCUAAUACCUGCAAGUAGAACGCUGAAGAGAGGAGCUUACUCUUCUUGGAUGAGUUGCGAACGGGUGAGUAACGCGUAGGUAACCUGCCUUGUAGCGGGGGAUAACUAUUGGAAACGAUAGCUAAUACCGCAUAACAAUGGAUGACACAUGUCAUUUAUUUGAAAGGGGCAAUUGCUCCACUACAAGAUGGACCUGCGUUGUAUUAGCUAGUAGGUGAGGUAAUGGCUCACCUAGGCGACGAUACAUAGCCGACCUGAGAGGGUGAUCGGCCACACUGGGACUGAGACACGGCCCAGACUCCUACGGGAGGCAGCAGUAGGGAAUCUUCGGCAAUGGGGCCAACCCUGACCGAGCAACGCCGCGUGAGUGAAGAAGGUUUUCGGAUCGUAAAGCUCUGUUGUAAGUCAAGAACGGGUGUGAGAGUGGAAAGUUCACACUGUGACGGUAGCUUACCAGAAAGGGACGGCUAACUACGUG